rnacentral:rRNA from 1 species
GACGAACGCUGGCGGCGUGCUUAACACAUGCAAGUCGAACGGAAAGGCCCUGCUUUUGUGGGGUGCUCGAGUGGCGAACGGGUGAGUAACACGUGAGUAACCUGCCCUUGACUUUGGGAUAACUUCAGGAAACUGGGGCUAAUACCGGAUAGGGGCUCCUGCUGCAUGGUGGGGGUUGGAAAGUUUCGGCGGUUGGGGAUGGACUCGCGGCUUAUCAGCUUGUUGGUGGGGUAGUGGCUUACCAAGGCUUUGACGGGUAGCCGGCCUGAGAGGGUGACCGGCCACAUUGGGACUGAGAUACGGCCCAGACUCCUACGGGAGGCAGCAGUGGGGAAUAUUGCACAAUGGGCGGAAGCCUGAUGCAGCAACGCCGCGUGCGGGAUGACGGCCUUCGGGUUGUAAACCGCUUUCGCCUGUGACGAAGCGUGAGUGACGGUAAUGGGUAAAGAAGCACCAGCUAACUACGUG